rnacentral:rRNA from 1 species
UACGUAGGUCCCGAGCGUUGUUCGGAUUCAUUGGGCGUAAAGGGUGCGUAGGCGGUCUGCUAAGUUUGAUGUGAAAUCCCGGGGCUCAACCCUGGAAUGCCAGUGGAAACUGUCGAGCUAGAGUCCGGAAGAGGCGAGUGGAAUUCCUGGUGUAGCGGUGAAAUGCGCAGAUAUCAGGAGGAACACCAAUGGCGAAGGCAGCUCGCUGGGACGGUACUGACGCUGAGACGCGAAAGCGUGGGGAGCAAACAGG